GUUUUUCUGCAACUCGUUGGUUUUAUCUGCAAAACGGAGGGGAAAACAAACUUUACUAUUGUAUCCAAACUUUAUCUUUAGAUACAUCGAAAUUUAUCAAGAUUCUGCCAAAUUUUAAGAGGGAAACAAGCUAUUGCAUAAAGAAGAAUAUCAUAGCUCAAAGUUUAUCAAGAUCCUAUCCAUUUUAAGGUAAAGGCAAGGGUAAGACGAGUUGACCAUGGGUUGGAGAGCUCUGGGGGCGAGGUGUACAAUGUCAGCUGCUCGGCUGCCACGGUCGAGGGUUUGUACAGGGACGGGAACUUAAAACGUGUAUUUUUCCAUUAGAGUGGCUUGAUUAUUUAUAAGAUUUGGAAAUUCCGUAAUUACGUUAUUUAAACCUUGAUUUGGGAUCCCAUAUACCAAACAUGUAUUUUGAUGAAAAUUGUUUGUUUAUAGCCAAAAUAUUUUAAACCUAACUUGUUGUGUCGUUAGAUUCACAAUUUUAUUUAAAUGACUUGAUUAGCAGGUCUUGCACUAUUUCAAACACACAGUGUAACGGUCCUGGUUAUCCAGGGCGUUACAACUUGGUAUCAGAGCAUCCUAGGUUUAAGGAUUCCUGGAGAAAGGCUGGACUUGUACACUCGCCGCUAAAGACAAGCUCGACUCAGGGUUCUGUAAUUGAAUAUAUGAGACUAUAUGUUUAAGUUUUGAUUGAAAUAUGAAUAUAUUAUGCUGUAUGACUAUAGGGAG